GGCCUGGUGGCCUAAUGGUAAGGCGUUGCUUUCCGGUGGCAAACAUUGCGGGUUCGAGUCCCGUCUGGGUCG
rnacentral:tRNA from 1 species